rnacentral:rRNA from 1 species
UACGUAGGGGGCAAGCGUUGUCCGGAAUCAUUGGGCGUAAAGAGCGCGUAGGCGGCCCUGUAAGUCCGCUGUGAAAGUCAAGGGCUCAACCCUUGGAUGCCGGUGGAUACUGCAGGGCUAGAGUCCGGAAGAGGCGAGUGGAAUUCCUGGUGUAGCGGUGAAAUGCGCAGAUAUCAGGAGGAACACCAAUUGCGAAGGCAGCUCGCUGGGACGCUACUGACGCUGAGACGCGAAAGCGUGGGGAGCAAACAGG